rnacentral:tRNA from 1 species
GCAGGUAUAGUUUAACCCAAGCAUUAGACUGUGAUCUUAAAAAUAGAAGUUAGACCCUUCUUACCUGCC